UCGGACGUGGUGCACGGUGCACGGCGGGUUUCCUUGGGGAUCAAGCUUGCAAGUCUUGAAUUAACUCGCAGUUCGGGGUUCGACUCCCCGCGUCUGAU